UACAGAGGUGGCGAGCGUUGUUCGGAUUUACUGGGCGUAAAGGGCGCGUAGGCGGUUCGGUGUGUCGAGUGUGAAAUCUCCAGGCUCAACCUGGAAAGUGCGCUCGAAACUGCUGAACUCGAGCAUGGUAGGGGAGAGCGGAAUACACGGUGUAGCGGUGAAAUGCGUUGAUAUCGUGUAGAACACCGGUGGCGAAGGCGGCUCUCUGGAACAUUGCUGACGCUGAGGCGCGAAAGUUGGGGGAG
rnacentral:rRNA from 1 species